ensembl:lncRNA
AGCCGUGAUGCGCAGGCUCAGUCUGCCCCGAGCCUGGGGGCCGACCCGCGGCGCGCCCUGGGUGUGGCGGGAGCGCGCGGGCCUGCGCCCGGACGGCUUCUCCCCGCCCCCGACUCCCCUCCGCGGCGGGUUCUUCCGGCUCCGGUCUGAGGCGGUGCCUGGCACCUUCUGACCAGGAUCCGCGGGUCCCCGUGCUGUGGUCCCGGGAGGCACGCGGGGCCUGCCUGCUAUAGCGGGUUUGCAGGGCGAGCCUCCCUGGAGCGGUAGGGUCGGUUUGGGUGUUGCACGCUCGGUUUGACGUUUUAAUCCGGAGGAGUUGUGGGGUUCCUCGAAUCUCAAACUGCCUUCUUCCCUUUUGAGACUUGAAAAUACCCGAAGCCUGCCUUCUACGAAGUUUACCGCCAAUUUCUUUCCCUGAUCUUGUACAGACUUGAAGCACACACAGCCACAGUUUCUUCCUCACCUCCCCCUCCGCAGCCCACCACAAUCUGGAGUUGACUCCUACUACAGUUGGGAGAGUGUUCUCAGUAAAUGUGCCUUCCAUCGUAUAACUGCCAGAUCUGACACUCCUCAGCCCUUCCUGCAUCCAGAGUGGGCCACUCUGCUUCCAUCACCUGGGGCUGCCUCCCCCCCCCCACUGUGUUCCCGGCACCUCCAGAUUCUUGGGAUUAGCAUAUGCGGUGUUAGUUACUCUCCGAAGAUCCUCCCGGACUUGGUGUCCCUCCUGGCUUUCCUGGCUGGCUUCCUGUGGAUUCUGCCAGCAGUAGACACCGAAGAAAACCCAGAAACUUAAAGCUUCAGUCUCCCGUCCGGUGACAGACAGUUGUGGCCCUUGUUGGUGGAGGUAGCCAUUGCAGCAGUCUGGAUGACAGCUUCCUCGAAGAAGCUCCUCCAGGAUCCUGAGCUUGGUGGCAGCUUCAAAGGAGAUGGAUCUCCAUGGCCUCCAGUGCCUCUACCUGGCUGCCGCAGAUGCAGACGGGGUUCUGGCUCGGGCUGGGGCAGUGUCUGGUCCCACCCUCCAUGUCUUGUGGCUUCAGUUGCAGGAAGCCUCCACCCUUUGGCCCUUCCUGCCUCUUUACCGUCUUCGAAUCUGACUUUAUACAUCCCGUUCUCCCAAUCUAAUGUGCCUGCGAACCCAGCACUGGGUGGCUAAGGCCACUCUGCUGUGAGUUUGAGGCCGGCUCUAUAGGGACGUCCAUCUCAACAAAGCAAAGCAAACGAGCCUGGAUUCCAGGCGUGGCUCAAUGCUCCUGCCUGGGGGCUGGGUGGUAGCUGAUGAGGUUGGACCCCUGCAGCCCUGAGUCUGUGACCCCCUUUACCUUCAGCGCAGUCUACUUGGUGAUUUGACCCUCUGCUUCAUCUGUGGUCCCUCUUCCUCCACCUCACCACUCCUGUGGGCUGUUCCACAGCACCCCAAAUUUAAAACAUCUACGAUCAUAUCCCCCCCAUCUCCUCUUCCUUCCUCUUCCCUCCUCCGUUUUGUCCCCCCCCCAACCCAACCCAACCCAGGGCCUCAUACAUCUUAAGACAAGUGCUUUACAAAUAGACUACAGCCUUCUCUAACCCAGACUCAAGCUGGCCUUGAACUCACUUGGUAGCCCUGUAGGCAUAAAUUGUUUGCAACCUACUUUCAAUAAGGGUUCAACCUUUCUUCUAACCCACCACCCAGCAGAGGUAGGGGAACAGAAAAGCUAAUAGGAUGUGGGGGGGAGUGGACCUGUUCGGCAGUAGUUCUUUGGGGGGUGAGCUCGGUCUUCCUCAGCAGCAGUUCAAUCCCACAACAAACAGCAAAUAAGACGCAGCAGCUGCAGACCGGCCCUCUAGGCAGGCAGACAGCACGCACGAACCAGCAGCUGCAGUCCAGUCCUUUCAGCAAGCAGACACCAGGCUGUAGUAGUUCAAUCUUGAAGAAACUGCCAGGCUCACCAACAGCCUGAGGCGAGGCCACCAGAGGCAGCAAGCUGCAGCUGUACCACAAGUCCCACAAAUCGAGCUGUAUAAGGUGAAACAAUACAUGUGUCAUUAGCGAAGAAUAGCGAGGCGGAGCAAACCAAACCAAUGGUCAGUGCUCCUCCCCUACUGCCUGUGAGGUCACAUUUAUACUCCUUCAUCAUGGGUCCCUUCCCGUGUCUGCUAUGUCCAAACACCCUUUCACCUGUGUCUGCUCCAGGAAAACAGCCUUUCCCGUGUCUCCUUUAGCAACUCUUCCUUUCACCUGUGUGCCCCAGCAAACCAUCAUUUGACAUAACUUUUCCAAAGAUACUGGAAGUUUCCUUUUUGUAGCCCGACCUUGAACUUGCGAUCUUGUACUCCAGGCCCCGAGUAUUGGGGAUCAGGGGUAUUCAUCUCCAGGUCCAGCUUCCCCAUCUUUCAGUAAGCCCUUGGUAGCCAAGCCCUUCAGAGCCAGCUUCCUCAUCAUCCCGGCGUUCGAGUGCAUUUUCUUUGAGUAUCACCUCAUCUGGAACCUUUUCAUCUCCAGCCAUUUAUGAUGGGAAGGCAUAUUAAUGUCCACUCCUGACAAACGGAGCCAGUUGGCCAGUGGUUUUAGGUUUUCCCAAGUUCCAGUGGUUUGAGAUAUCAAAACCACUCAAAAAUGCUAAAUUUGCCUGCUGACAGUGGCACACUCCUCUAAUCCCAGCACUCUGGGAGUCCGAGGCAGGCAAAUUCUUAUGGUUCAAAGCCAGCUUGGUCUUCGUGGUAAGUUCCAGGCCAGCCAGAGUGCUAUGCAGUUAGGCCUUUUCUUAAGAUGAUGAUGAUGAAAGGGGGCUGGAGAGAUGGCUCAAUGGUUAGAGCACUGACUGCUCUUGCCAAGGUCCUGAGUUCAAUUCC